CCAGAGGACAUGGGCUAAAUCUCAGCAGUGAGGAGCUGAAGAUGGAGAUCUAGUGGCUGCUUGUCUCUCUGCUCCUUUUCCUACUCACAGCAAAGCGCCUGGUCAUGGAGAAGGAGACUAAAUUCUAUUCUAAUGACUUUACUCUUGAACAAAACUGUUUCCUAGCCCGAGGUUUUUCCAGGGACUGUGAAGCAUUCAGCCCGGCUCUGCCCAGCAGCAAUUCCAGAUGAAAUCACACUUCAGUAACAGGCUACAGAAGCAAACUAGGUAUGGAUAUCACUCCACAGGAAUACACAAAGUUUGAUCCUGUGAAAAGCUGGAAUGGCUCAUCGCAGAAAAGAUUAUAGGCCAGGAUAAAUGCUCAACACAGACAACAUUUAUCUAUAUUAGGAACCAUUUGAAAAAUGGAGAACAGCA